rnacentral:lncRNA from 10 species
AGAUGGCAACAGUAGAACUACAGGAGGAAGCGGGACAAGGGUUGAAAAACCAACUAUUGGGUACUGUGCUCAGUACCUGGGUGACAGGAUCAAUCAUACCCCAAUCCUCAGCAUUAUGCAUUAUACCUAGGUAGCAAACAUGCAUAUGCACCCCUUGAAUCUAAAACAGAAGUUGAAAUUAUUUUAAGGAAGAGCCGAAUGGAAAUCCCUGAACUGAAAAAUACAAAAUAUACUUUUUAAAAAGAAAAAUGCCUCAUAUAGUAGUUAAAAAAAACCCAGAUUUUGAAUUUAUUUAUGCUUUAUACUCUUUUAUUCUAUUCAUUAUUUUUCAUUUUUAUCUUUAUCAAUUCAUUCCUCAAACUUUUAUACUAUUUUGUUUUCCCUUUUUUUAGUUUCUUAAGAAAAAUACUCAUUUUAAGUCUUCAUUUUUUUUUUUUUUAAAUAAGGCAUUUUCCAGAUGUGAGGGUGACCUGGCUGUGACAUCUGUUGCCCCAUUGAUGGCCACGGUUGUUUGGCUGAUCUGGCUGCCUAGGCAGGUGUCCCCUUCCUCCCUCACUGUUCCAUGUGCCUCCCUCCAGAAGCUACAUCCUUGGUUGAAGAGGAUGACCAUCCCCAAUAGAGGAGGACUGGUCUUCAAUCAAGGGCAUAUGAGUAGCUGCACUCCCCUGAUAGAACCUGCAAACAAGCUCUGAAAAAAUGAAGGCAUUUUUUAAUAUCAACUAAUAAUGUGGAGAGAGUACUGGAGUUAAAUAAUCAUUUUGCAAAAAUCAUAAUAAAACUGGUUCAAGCAAGAAUCAUCAAUGGAUAUUAAAUGUAGUGAGAACUGUGUGUAGUCAUAGUAGAGAAAUUGGACAACAAAUAGUCCUGUAUGUAGUCACAGUAGAAAAAUUGGACAACACUUUGAUCAGUGAUCAAAAUUAAUGCCACCAAUGAAGGACAGAAAAACAACAUGUGACUCCAGAUAUAAUACACUCAGAAGCAUCAUUUGUGUAGUUCUCUGGUUGAGAAUGUGAAACCUAAUCUUGAGGGACCAUUAGACAGACUCCAACUUCUGAUUGAUUUUUAUAAAUACUUCAGUGCUCAAAAGACAAAUGUGUUUUUCUAUAUCCAUAGAACCGCAAAUUUUCUAUGUAUUAAUAUGAGUUGUUUAUAUAUAUGUUUAUAUAUUAUAUAUAUUAAUAUUAGUCUUAUUAUUAUUUUGAGAUGCAGUCUCGCUCUGUCACCCAGGCUGGAGUGCAGUAGCGUGAUCUUGGCUCACUGCCACCUCCGCCUCCCAGGUUCAAGCAAUUCUCCUGCCUCAGGCUCCUGAGUAGCUGGGAUUACAGAUGCGCCCACCACGCCCAGCUAAUUUUUGUAUUUUUAGUAGAGAUGGGAUUUCACCAUGGUCAGGCUGGUCUCGAACUCCUGACCUUGUGAUCUGCCCUCCUUGGCCUCUCAAAGUGCUGGGAUUACAGCACCUUGAGAUAUACACCACGCCUGGCCCAAUGUAUAUUGUUAAUUGUGGUUAUGUCAUAUAGGUCCUUGCCUUUCUUGUUAUGUUUUAUUUACUCUUAGGUCUAUCACUUUCUGAAAAU